UGUGCCCUUAGAGGGGUUCUCAGACUCUUAAGAGUCUACACUCAGUGGUGUGCUGGAGCCAGCUCUUAUCCCGCUCCAGAGCUAAUUGUUGGCAUCUUUCCUAACCCCAUAUUAAGUGACUUCGUGUUGGUAGCUUGAAAUUGGCCAUGGUAGGAAUAUUUACAGAAAUUGACAAACAAUACAAAUCAGUCCUUCUCCCCAAACUGGUUGUUACAUAUCUGUCAGCAUACUACUGAAGUGGGUGGUAGAAACCAGGAGAGUGAAUUCUCCCCCAUUGUGACUCUACUGGACAUUUGGGGCCUGUUUCAAGAAAGGCAUCAAGAGCUUAGCAGACACUGCAUUCUUUUAUGGCUGGAAUAUUGCUGAGGGCUCUAGGCUGUAUACGGUGGAGUGGCUGAUGUGGAGAAAGGAUGAGUGUCGAGUGACAAGCUAUGAUGGAUCACUUUAGGGCUCAGUUGGUGAGAUAAAAUGAGAGACGGGUGCCAGAAGAAAGGGUUUCCCUUCCUUGUCUCCUCUAGCUCAGUAGAAGCUGGCGAGGCCGGGUGGGGUGGAGAAGCAAGGGAAGAAUAUCCCUUGGAGAGGCUUGGCAUUGGCACUUUGCUGCGGUCCUCCCCACCACCACCACCAGAAGGCGCUCUUGUGAGGUUUUGGGGCCGAUCUUCCCAGCUCAGGUUGGCGACGCUCUAGUCGCCGUUACUCUAAGGCCCGCGGGGCGGCCUGGGAGCCGCGGCAGAAAGGCCCUCCUCCGUACGCGCAGCCCGCUGGCGCGGUUCAUGGCGCGGCUCCCGAAGCUCGUAGUCUUCGAUCUAGAUUACACGCUGUGGCCGUUCUGGGUGGACACGCACGUAGACCCCCCGUUCCACAAAAGCAGUGAUGGAACUGUACGAGAUAGGCGGGGCCAGGCCGUCCGACUGUACCCAGAGGUGCCUGAGGUCCUGGAAAGAUUGCAGGGCUUGGGGGUGCCCGUCGCGGCCGCUUCACGGACAGGUGAGGUUGAAGGGGCCAACCAGCUACUGGAGCUCUUUGACCUUGUCAGAUACUUUGUUCAUCGGGAGAUCUAUCCAGGCAGCAAGGUCACGCACUUUAAGAGGUGUUACCAGCAUUCAUGUCCAGAAUGGAAUGAGCCUUCAGACCCUAACUCAAGGAUUAGAGACAUUUGCAAAGGCACAAGCUGGACUCUGAGGUCCAGUCCUGUGGAUGAGCCUCAUUUGAGGCAUAGAACUGAAAGGAAAUCAGGAGGGCAUUUUCAGACAAGAAGGAGAGGGGGCCAACCCCUGAAGAGGCAAUACAGAAACUGAAGGAGACGGAGAAGAUAUUGAUCAAGAAACAGGAAUUUCUGGAGCAGAAGAUUGAACAGGAGCUACAAACUGCCAAGAAGCAUGGGACGAAGAAUAAGAGAGCCGCCCUACAGGCUUUGCGGAGGAAGAAAAGGUUGGAACAGCAGCUGGCACAAACGGACGGGACAUUAUCCACCCUGGAGUUUCAGCGUGAGGCCAUUGAGAAUGCCACCACCAAUGCAGAAGUGCUUCGUACCAUGGAGCUUGCUGCCCAAGGCAUGAAGAAGGCCUACCAGGACAUGUGGGGACAUUGACAAGGUGGAUGAACUGAUGGCUGACAUCACAGAACAACAGGAGCUGGCCCAGCAGAUCUCAGAUGCCAUUUCUCGACCCGUGGGAUUUGGAGAUGAUGUGGAUGAGGAUGAACUGUUGGAGGAGCUAGAGGAGCUGGAGCAGGAGGAAUUGGCCCGAGAAUUGUUACAUGUGGACGACAAGGAGGAGGAACCCCCAGUCACACUGCCCAGUGUACCGUCUACACAUCUUCCUGCAGGGCCAGCUCCCAAAACGGAUGAAGAUGAAGAAGCACUAAAGCAAUUGGCUGAGUGGGUGUCCUGAUGAGUCUGGGCUUGCCUACCUGACGCUGCCUUCAUUGUUCUCUUUUCCUUAAGUGCCAAGUGCUAAGCUAAAGGAACAUGGCCUUGUUGGGAGGUCCUGCUGAGAGUGGUAGUAUGACCCUGCCUGAGAAAAGGGUCCGUCGCCCUCCCAUCCCAGGCUCAACCCUGAAGAAGGAUUUUGGUGCAGGAGGAACCCCUGGGCUCCCUUUAAUAGCAGUUACAGUGCCCUCGUUCGCAAUAAAAUUGGGUGGAUGGAACCCUAGUGCUUA